AGGAAAGAGCUGACGUCCGAAGACGCGUGAAAGGCCGGUUUGUCAAAGCUGGCGAGGCCUACGAUUAUGACCCUUUGAGCCAAACCAGAAGCUAUUGAGUGUACAAUAUUUAACCAUGUUAUUUUAAAGUUAAGACACAAUUAUACCUGAAAAUGGAUGGAAUUUGAUGCAUUCUUUUUCCGUGUAAUGACAAUCUGUCUGAUUUUAUCACAGGGAUCUAGCUUUCUUCUCGGACGAUCAAGAGUCAAAGAAGGCUGUGUUCAACAGUAUAAACUCAGAAGCUGAUUCUCUUUCCUUCACUACCAAGUAUAUCGAAACUUGGCAAUUUUUUCUUCUUAAUUCUUC
rnacentral:lncRNA from 1 species